rnacentral:lncRNA from 1 species
AAACUGCCUUCACAUUGGGGCUUUAUACUCUCUUUUUGGCCUUUCUUCAAGUGUUGACAGUGCUCACUAACUGAUGGGAUAUUUAUAUUCCACAAGAAAAAUGGGAUAAGAUAGUCCCAAUGCAGGAAAUAAAUACAACUUGGGGUAGCAAUGGACAGCUGAGUGAGUUAUUUCCAUUAAGACUGGGAAUGAGCCCUUUUCUGCAAAGAGGGUGCUGAAACUGAAGAAGGAGGGUCCUGCCCUCUCAAAGCCAAAGCAAAGGCCUUGAAAAUCUAGAAGGCAGUGCUGAAAGUGCCUGUACCCCAAAAAGAUCUGCAUGUCACCCACCUUCUGGCCACCAGCCUAAGACCCUGGUGCUCCAGUGGCAACCGAAAUUCCCUCCCAAAAGCUCACCCAGAAGAAACGAGCUUGAACACGACGCCAUCAGCAAAUUACCCUGACCACUGUGUCUGCGAUGGAGAAGACAGAAGACACUUGCAUUCACGGUGGAUGCCAAGGUCAACAAGCAUCAGUUCAAACAGCCUGUGAGCAAACUCUACUACACUGAUGUGGCCAAAGUCAAUACUCGACAAAGCCUGGUGGAGAGAAAAAUGAAAGCAGGUGCUCCACUGACUCCAUAUGAGGAUGGACUAGAUGUUGUCUACAAAAUUGGGAUCAUCCAAACUGAGUCUAGCUGCCUCAUUCUAAACACACACUUUUUCUUUCUCAAUAAAAAAAAAAUAGGAACAAAACUCAGAACAGAGCAAACACUCAGAUCAUGCAGUAUGGCGUGCCUUUUCUCUCAUUCUACCAGGCACCAUCUUUUCAUGUCAGUUUUACUUAUUGCCUUAAUUAUUUUAGUUUGUUGCUAGGAUGGGG